GCUGGCGGUGGUCACGUGGCUCUCUUAAGCGGUCAAAUCUUCCUCCUUGCCCGUUGUUUAUGUUUUUUUUCUUUGACUUUGUCAGCCGCCCGUGUAUCGAUUGAGCUGGCGCCCGAGACGUGUCAUCAGGUCUAUAUUUGUCAGUGUUGCUUGCGGCCUGUUAUUGAAGGCAGGGCUUUCCAUACAUAAUUAAAAGAAGCUGGGAUGAAAGAGCCAAUGCCUCAGUCAGUUGUUCAUCCAUCAAAAACUUUGAACUGGUUCUUGCACAGACGUCUCCGCCAGUUAUUUUCUUGUGGUAGCCAGCGGACAAACAAAGGCACCCCUUUUCCAUUUGCGCCUCAUCCCUUUGUCUCAUAUUUGACUCGGGGGGGCUUUAAGACUUUAAUUAAAUUCCAAUCCCCCGCUCUCACUUCUCCACAGACUCUCCCUCCGCCGUGUCUCUGUGGGAGGUUGCGAAGCCGGCUUUGGUGCCUGUUGUGGUUUAUUUGAAAGAGUCCUGUGGAAAGCUCAGCGCUUCAUGAUAGAAUUUGCACAUGUGGUCCAGACAGUGUGCGCCUGCACAUGCACUGUCGUGACACCCCGUCUGGUGUGAGGUGCUCCCACCUGAGUUGUGGGAUUUGGGCAAAUUUGUCCUGACCGCCCAUUUCCAUUUUUCUUUUCACUCCAUCGUUGCAGCUUUUUCAAUAUUGCUCGGAAUCAGACGCGACAUCGAGUCUGUCGUGAGACUGAGCUCGCCCAGUCCGAGAGGGAGAACGAGUCCUGCACGCCUGAGCCACACUGACAGUGACGGACAGGUCCAGCGAGGAGAGCCGAUGGCCAAACUUCUUCUCGUCUGGACGACGUCGGAGAAGAUGGAUGCGGCUCUUGUGAGGCUUCCAGAUCUUACGCUCGUGCCUGCUUCCAUGUGUAUAUCGCGAGUGUGGAAGGCGACGCUGAAAUCCGAAACCUGUUUCAUUUGUCCGCCGUUCGUCCAUUUCCAGACAGAAUGACAGAUUCAAUGCCAAGCUCAUCAGGCAUUGAUUUGGAGGGAGCAAUCUUCUGACCACAGUAGAACUCUAAUCAGCAUAAUUCAAAUUUGAAGCUGGCUCGCUUGAGAUACGGCGGCGAGACCUUCAGGGCGCCUGUGGAAAAUCGGCACGGACGAAGCUGUGUUCGUUCAUUUCCGCAGGGGUGAAGAGGGAUUUGUCCCAGAUAUAGUGCGCCUUUCCCGAAAGGAUGACAAAUCACGACAGAGGAGCCAUCGUCAACAUAAAUAGGAUAUACAAGUCUUCAGAUUCCACUUGGCCAUAAUGCGUAUAUCAUGAGAAUUAGAUCUUACUCGUCCUUGGACGUGAUAGCACGUCAUCUCUAUCUCUGUCACCUGUGUGGCUGUGACUCAUCAAAGUGGACUUAGUGAAUAAAUCAUCAAAGCCGUUGGGAACAUUUUGACUUUACAUGAUUGAUUACAUAUCAGUUUGAAACGUGACUCUCAGCACGUGCGCACGUUUGCCAAUUUGGCAGACCGGCCUGCACCAGGCUGGCUGUUCUGUCGCAGCGAGGGUGUGUCCUUGGAGAUGCACAUGGCGGAGUGACAAUUUGCUGGCAGAAAGUCGGUCUAAACUUACGCCCGCUCAGACCACAUCUGAUUGCCGGCACAGCUGGUUUAAUGUGAUUUUGGUGAAUUUAAUGAGGGUACCCGCUCACAUUGUCUGUUGCCGCACCGGCCAAGAGCAGUGACAAUGCCCCAGUCACGCAUGAAUUGCUGCCACUAUGCAUCGUCCGUCUCCUCCGUAUCGUCGUCUUCCGCACGGUCACACCAGCUCUUCCGGCUCCUUCCCAGCUCAGGCUAAGCCGCCGAUAUCUGAUGCCAGUGAUUUUCGGCACAAUCUUCUCCAGAAACUCUUGUCCUUGUCGCAAAAGAAGUCAACCAGGUGGGCAAAAAAAAAAAUUAUAAUUCAAGUUUCCAAUCGAAAAGCUCUUUUUAUUCCUGAAUUUGACUUGCUGAGGAGCAGCAUGUCAUUUCGGAUGCACUCUUGCAGGCAGACGCUAUGAAAGUGAAACGACGUGGGCGCAAUGGGAACAAGUGGUGCUCGACGUGCUUUCCCGAAAACUUUAUUUCAAGUGUAAACUUCUCCAGAAGAACAUUGAAAACAACUUUUGAUUCCCGAAAACUUUAUUUCAAGUGUAAACUUCUCCAGAAGAACAUUGAAAAAAUUUUUUGAUAAAAUGAUCAUGGUUUUCUUGGGCCUCCUGCAGUCACAUAAUAUAUGUUAUUCCAUUGCUACAAGGAUGUUUUUGUUAAAAAAUAAGAUGGAAAAAAAAAAGAAGUCUUACAGUAUUUAUGUUCACAUGUUCCCAGAAAGUUUAGAGAAGGAUUUUUCCUAAACAAAGCUCACAUUGAAACAUUUAUUUUCUACUUCCAGUUGCGUGUUGUCAUGGUUUCAUGCGAGCUUUUCGGUGCGCCUAAGCCAAAUAUUUGGGUGAAAUUGGAACCCUUGUUGAUGCAGUCUGUUGUAAAAGAGUCAUUAAAGCGCCUGCGAGAAGGCCCAAAAUCAGGACGUUUUUCCUGCAUGUAACUUUAAUUUUCAAAUGGGCAGCGCGGGAAAACGUUUGCUUUCUGCGCGAGCGUGACAUUGAUUUUCCUCCUAAUUAACUCCACAUGCUACACUACUCAUUGCAAAAGCGAGGCCGGCCGGGCGCCAGUGGGGUGUGCUCGCUGCUACUAUGGUGUAAGUACAUUAGCUGUGAAUUAAACUUUUAAAUACAGCAUGGAUCAGAGACAACCCCCACCCCUGCUGUGUAACGCUCAAACUGGGAAGUCGGCGGCGAUAUACGGCAGGCUGACUAGAUCGCUGCUUUAUCGCAUUAUAGCCUCCAAUUAGAUGUUUCAUUUGAAAGGACGUUGCCUUUAAUAUGUCACUUAUCGCUACUGCUCGUAAUGGAUGGCAAAUCAAAAGGAGACGAGCGCUCGACGUGAACGGCUCGAUCGUGAGUCAAAUGACAAUAUGAGAAAAUAAAUGACUAACAAAAGUAAAAAAAAAAAGCAAAAGUUCUGUUUUUGGUUGUUUUUCUGUCCAAUUGUUUGUAGGUUACUUCCUGGUUCAUGGAGUAUUACAUGAGAUGCUUUGCCUGGUUGGCUAUUACCGUUUACAUUCUGGAAUUGGGAGAAUGGUUCCAUUGUGAUUCAAAUAACAAAAACAUAAAACGUGAAAAUAAAUAAUUGCAGGGCGCCAUUUUAUUUUUAUUUUUUGGGUUUGUUUUCUAAUUCGUGUACCACUUCUGGAUGAUGUAAGGCAAUUAUUAUUUUUAUUCUGGGGCAGGGGAGUCAUUUUAUCAUGACUUAAUUAAAUAAAUGACAUGAAGAAAAGUGAGUUGUAUUGUUGU